rnacentral:misc_RNA from 1 species
AAGGAAACAACAUAUACUUCUAUACAAACUCAGCCAUAUCCCACUGGCUGUUCUCUCAUUCCAUUAAACAGACAUCAUUUUCGUCAUACGAUAGCAACAUGAAUGACAGGAUUUGAUACAUCUUGAGCAGAGCUACUCAAGUUUUAAUAUCUAGUAUAUAUAUAAAAAAAAAAUCUUAUUAAAUCGCGAACUAGGAAAUGCAAGGAAAAACACCAUCUCCUGCACACCAUAAUGAUCCCAUCUUCAGUCUGUCUAUCUUCCCCGGAAGUGCAUGUGAUGGUUCCAUCUCAAUUAUUGCUAGCAGGGGAAAUGAGAAAAUCACUCACUUGGUGAUGAAUUCUUCUUAAUCAAGGAAUAGGCAUCGCUAUAUAUGGCCACCACGUUUGAAAACACAGCAAUGACAAUCAUAAAUAUACACAAGAUCUUGUCCUUCUUUGUUGCUAUGCCAUAGGGAUCUCUGAGAGUAACAGAAGCAGGAAAUAUGUACCCAAUGCAAACAGCAGCAGUUGCCCCAGUGAAUUGAAAAGCAUCCCAGAUGCUUGGGAUGAAAUUUGCACCCAGAAAGAUGAUGGCUAUGAGCCCACUGCUGAUCGAUGCAAAUCUCAAAUUGUCACUAGUCAGAGGCCUUGCAGAAGGAAAGAGAAGACCAUCCAAAUUAAGCCUCAAUGGAUAAAAGACAACGGGAAAGACAAGCAUUAGGUGGGCAGCAUAGCUGACACGAACAACAUCAUUGAGCAAGGAGCCUAAUGGAAUUCCAAGAUUGGUAUCGAAGUUGGCAAGCACAUCAUCAAGGGUUGCAUCACCAAAUAGGAGAAAACCAAACAGGCUCGUCAACACAUACACACUCGAGCAAAGAGCAAGAGAGCUUUUCACCACUGCUCUGAUCUGUGUUCUGUCUUCAAGUUCAUUUUCUAUGGAGUGAACAUUAUAGUGGCAUAUAUAUGCAGUAACGAGUACAGGAACCACUGUAAAGAGCUUAAGGAAUGAUGUUAUAUCAUACACAUCAGAAAACAAUCUGGGCAUAUGAAUGCUUCCACUCAUUAGCUUGAAUAAGGUAAUUCCCACAAUCACAACCAGGAAUACAACAGCCAAGGCAACUGAUAAUGCAGACGUAAAUCUCAAUGAAUCUAUACGCUUCAAGGAAGCCAAUGGUGCAAAUAUACCAAGAGUGGUGACAAGAAGAAUAAAGAACCGACUAUUCCACCAGUGAAUUCCAAACCAGCCUUCCAGGACACCAGCAUGGUGAACUCCGUUUGAAUUUGUUCCAGAGAGCACAUCACCUAUUAUAAUCAUGUAUACAACAAGAACACCUAUGUUGUUUACAAGUAUACAUAUUUGAAGCAACAUCUUCCCAUACUUCCCAAAGGUGUCUCCCAUUAGACCUCCAUAAGAAGUAGCUUUAGAAGUCCUGCUAAAUCUAAUCAACAACUCAAUUGAAGCUUCUGUCAGAAAAGCUGUGAAGAUGAUCAUAGCAAUCCCAGGAAUAAGACCUAACGACUUCAUUGUCGCAGGCAAGGCCAUGAUUCCUGCACCAACAAUCGUGGUUGAUAAAUUAAAUACAGCCCCGCUAAAGGAAGCCCCAUCAAACUCAUCGAAUCCAGCAUCUUCCUUAUGCUUAGUGGGCAACAAUGGUGAUUGCUCAUCAACCACUGCUUGUUUAUUAUUUCGUGAUUUCUUCUCUUUUACUUGUUUUAGGCUUCCAAUCGUCAUAUUUGAAUUCAGAAACUCAGCGAUCAAGGAUUCAGAACUUCACCGACUUGAUACACACAAGCUUUCACUUAUUGGUUUCUUUAGAAAAUAUCUUUUUUGAUUUGUGCUUAAGAUGAGAAGCAGGGUGUGUCCAUUAACAAGUUGUUAAUAGAUCCACCCUUCUUCUUCUUCACGAUUCAACCUUUUU